rnacentral:rRNA from 1 species
UUGAACGCUGGCGGCAUGCCUUACACAUGCCAGUCGAACGGUAACAGGUUAAGCUGACGAGUGGCGAACGGGUGAGUAAUGUAUCGGAACGUGCCCAGUCGUGGGGGAUAACUGCUCGAAAGAGCAGCUAAUACCGCAUACGACCUGAGGGUGAAAGCGGGGGAUCGCAAGACCUCGCGCGAUUGGAGCGGCCGAUAUCAGAUUAGGUAGUUGGUGAGGUAAAGGCUCACCAAGCCGACGAUCUGUAGCUGGUCUGAGAGGACGACCAGCCACACUGGGACUGAGACACGGCCCAGACUCCUACGGGAGGCAGCAGUGGGGAAUUUUGGACAAUGGGCGCAAGCCUGAUCCAGCCAUGCCGCGUGCGGGAAGAAGGCCUUCGGGUUGUAAACCGCUUUUGUCAGGGAAGAAAAGGUUCUGGCUAAUACCUGGGACUCAUGACGGUACCUGAAGAAUAAGCACCGGCUAACUACGUG